rnacentral:lncRNA from 1 species
UGGCAAAUCUGAUGCAGAUUAAAGUGGGGGGAAACUAAACCCAGUACUUUUGGUAAUUACUGUAGUCAUCUAAAACAUUUACCCAGCUGAACACCACAGUGGUAUUCUUACAGCACACCUGCGCAGGCAGGAUUGUCAAGCUAAACUGGAAUUCGUUUUAUCUCUCCACUGCAGGUGAAAAUUAAAAGUUAAAACCAGAAAGAAGCAACACAGGUCUUCUGGCUAGCAACCACUCUCUUGAUAAAAGAUGACAUGCAGCUGCUCUUAUCAGGGUAAAGGCUGCUGCCAGAGAGGAUCAAGUUUCCUUCUUUGGCAGAAUACUUUUAAUUAAGGCACACCCAUAAACACUGGAAUGUUGGAGGAUGAUGUUUAUUGGAGCUGCUGCUGCAUGCUUGCUGAACUCAACCAUUGCUGCAAGAUCAGAACUAGAACCAGACAAACACAAACAAU